GAUGAACGCUGGCGGCGUGCUUAACACAUGCAAGUCGAACGGAAAGGCUCCUGCUUGCAGGGGUACUCGAGUGGCGAACGGGUGAGUAACACGUGGGUGAUCUGCCCUGCACUUCGGGAUAAGCCUGGGAAACUGGGUCUAAUACCGGAUAGGACCACAUUUUGGAUGGUGUGGUGGAAAGUUUUUCGGUGUGGGAUGAGCUCGCGGCCUAUCAGCUUGUUGGUGGGGUAAUGGCCUACCAAGGCGUCGACGGGUAGCCGGCCUGAGAGGGUGUACGGCCACAUUGGGACUGAGAUACGGCCCAGACUCCUACGGGAGGCAGCAGUGGGGAAUAUUGCACAAUGGGCGCAAGCCUGAUGCAGCGACGCCGCGUGGGGGAUGACGGCCUUCGGGUUGUAAACUCCUCUCGCUAGGGACGAAGCGCAAGUGACGGUACCUGGAGAAGAAGCACCGGCUAACUACGUG
rnacentral:rRNA from 1 species